rnacentral:rRNA from 1 species
GAUGAACGCUGGCGGCGUGCCUAAUACAUGCAAGUCGAGCGAACGGACGAGAAGCUUGCUUCUCUGAUGUUAGCGGCGGACGGGUGAGUAACACGUGGAUCACCUACCUAUAAGACUGGGAUAACUUCGGGAAACCGGAGCUAAUAACGGAUAAUAUUUUGAACCGCAUGGUUCAAAAGUAAAAGACGGUCUUGCUGUCACUUAUAGAUGAAUCCGCGCUGCAUUAGCUAGUUGGUAAGGUAACGGCUUACCAAGGCAACGAUGCAUAGCCGACCUGAGAGGGUGAUCGGCCACACUGGAACUGAGACACGGUCCAGACUCCUACGGGAGGCAGCAGUAGGGAAUCUUCCGCAAAGGGCGAAAGCCUGACGGAGCAACGCCGCGUGAGUGAUGAAGGUCUUCGGAUCGUAAAACUCUGUUAUUAGGAAAGAACAGAUGUGUAAGUAACUGUGCACAUCUUGACGGUACCUAAUCAGAAAGCCACGGCUAACUACGUG